AUGGGCAAGGUUUAGAGAAGGAUGGGGAACCUUUUCCUGUUGGAAGGCCGCAUUAAGUAAGCUGUAAUCUAAUAAGGCCGCAUCCAAGAACCUUCAAUUGGAUAUAGGAUUAUUUUGUCGAAUCUUCUUUUACUCUUUGGUAUUUUAAAUACGUUCAUUUUAAGAU